rnacentral:rRNA from 1 species
AUGCGGCAGCUUCGGCUCAUCACCAACAUGAGGGCUCAUAAUGACACAUGGUUUGCAAAUUACUUGCUAAGGGUCGGCAAUGGCACUGAGGAAGUCGACGAUCAAGGCAACAUACUACUCCCUGAAGACAUUUGUCUGCCGUCUACAGGCGAGGUUGACGACCUGGAGAAGCUUAUUCACCACGUGUUUCCGAGUCUAGAUGACAACAUGUAUGAUUCAAAUUACAUGACAUCUCGAGCAAUCCUUUCCAUGACAAACGACAAUGUCGACAAGAUAAACAUCCGCAUGAUAGAG